rnacentral:rRNA from 1 species
UACGAAGGGGGCUAGCGUUGUUCGGAAUCACUGGGCGUAAAGGGCGCGUAGGCGGCUUUGUAAGUCGGGGGUGAAAGCCUGUGGCUCAACCACAGAAUUGCCUUCGAUACUGCAUGGCUUGAGACCGGAAGAGGUAAGUGGAACUGCGAGUGUAGAGGUGAAAUUCGUAGAUAUUCGCAAGAACACCAGUGGCGAAGGCGGCUUCCUGGACCGGAACUGACGCUGAGGCGCGAAAGCCAGGGGAGCAAACGGG